GAGAGAGAGAGCCAGGGGAAGAAGAAGAAUUGUGAAGGAGGAAAGAGAAUAAACCGACAGAUACUGAGAGAGGAGAACAAAAGACAAGAAAGAAGUCAUACUGGUUAGGAAUGACAUGUAGCUGUUCGGCUGUUUUCGGCCCCUCCGGCAGAGGCGGAGCUUACACGCACAACACACGAGGGGGCGGAGCCGUAACGAGUCCAGACACCACCCAUACUAUAACUCCAGGUGAAGAUAUCAGAAAAGUGUGCAGAGUUGGAGAUAAAACGGCUCGCUGCACUGGUGCUGUCAGCAGUGCCUUACAUCCUGUUUGAAACAGGGUGCUGCACCGUCUCGGGGGAUUAUCAUGGCAUAGCGGCACAACAUAAAAGAUGCUGGCUAAUAAAACAGCGCGGAACAGAGAGGGGGGAGAAACAAAAAGAAAAGCUUGUUCAAUAUGGAUCAGACUGUCUUCCACCCUCCCCCUUUAUCCCUCUCCAUUGCUCUGGCUGGUCCAUCACCUGCCGUGGUUGGUCCUGAGGCAGCAGGCAGGCAGGCAGGCGGGCAGCUGGCCAGACGGGGAAAGGCACGGCUGGUCUGGUCCGCGCUGGGCCGGGCUGGGCUCAGACCGUGUCCCUGGCCUUCUGAGGCAGGGAGCCGCUGGCUAGAGCCGCUUUCAUCCUCCCAGCAGAAUUAAUCACCAAAGCCUUCAAGCUGCCAACCAGCAGAGGAGACUGUCAGCCAAGAGGGGUUCUGGCACCAGCCCAGGCUUCUAUCCCUGCAGGGGCCUUCUAUCAGAUCAAAGACUGCCACCAUCAUGUCCCCCCUCCCCGCACACCUCUUUUUUGUUGAUGUGGCAGAGGGGAUGUAGAUGAUUCUGGAGAUUUUACAAGGAAAAGAUAGCUGGCUUGAUGAGGACGUAGAUACGUGUAAUUAGAUUCUGAAUGUCUAAUGAGGGAUGUGCGGUUCCUUUCAGGGCUCGGGGAAGAUGCUGAGCACCUGCUCGGAGCGAAAAAAUCACUCCAUCCACUAGCACCUCAGCCGAGGCACAUCCCCAUGACAACCACGAGCCAAUGAGACGGCUGCCACACGGGUCACACAAGCCUCCCACAGCACUGGACAAUACGUCCGAGAGGAAAUGCUCUCGCUCUCGUCUGAGAGAUAUACAGCUCUGUUCAUCAGGUUGUGAAAAAUGGUCUGUGCGCUGUUGUUUGCCAGAGUCGUGGCCGCCAAAUGUCAUCGUUACUGGAGUUGAUGCAACUAUGAGAUCAUAGUGAAAUAAAAUGGAAUUGCGUUCAAAAUUGCCUUUAUGACAUCAGAAGAGUAUUGUAGUAAGAAUCAAUUACCAAAGCCAAAUUCAAAACAAACACUCUGAUAAGCUAUCUGUUUUAAAUUUAUCUAUAUCCAUAUGGGACAUUUAUGAAAGCCUGUUUUUGCCACAAUAUAAAAAAUAAAAAAGUUGAUUGUGACUUUU